rnacentral:rRNA from 1 species
AUUGAACGCUGGCGGCAGGCUUAACACAUGCAAGUCGAACGAGUGGCGGAGGGGUGAGUAAUGCUUGGGAAUUUAGAUAAUGGAGGGGGAUAACUACGGGAAACUGUAGAUAAUACCGCGUAACACAGGAUGAGUCUAAGCGGGAUUAGGUAGUUGGUGAGGUAAAGGCGAACCAAGACGACGAUCUCUAGCUGGUCUGAGAGGAUGACCAGCCAAACGGGGACUGAGACACGGCCCAGACUCCUACGAGAGUCAGCAGUGGGGAAUAUUGGGCAAUGGAGGCAAACUGACGCAGCCAUGCCGCGUGAAUGAAGAAGGCCUUCGGAUUGUAAAGAUCUGUCGGUAGCGAGGCGUUAACUACCGAAAAAGCACCGGCUAACUCCGUGCCAGCAGCCGCGGUAAUAC